UCUGAACUUAAUAGACAGCUAAAGAAAAAGUCAUUUGGGGGACAGUUGCCGAACUAGUCCUGUCUGAGUGGAAUAAAUGUCCUCCAAAGGAGUUGAAUGUAUGGGACAGACUGUACUGAGGAGGUGAACCUGCAGGUAACCUGGACCCAAAACAUGUAGGACUUUAAAGCCAAACAAGGCGAAAAAGAUAAUAUCACUGGAACAUCAUUGUCUUAAAGGAAAUGCUUUGAUUCCCAGUAAAAAACAUCAGUGAUAUGCUAGAGAUCACCAGACUGGGCCACAGCAACACGUGGCAGGGGAUUGCUAGCUGACAGGAUGUAAGAAGCAAGGAGGAAAAGGUUUAAAUCUCUCUACAGUCAAAGCAUAUGGAACUUGUCAACUCAGAGGCAAUCAAGCUUGGCUACUUUAUGCAGGAGAAAGGAAGAGGAAAUCUGGGAUUAUAAAAUCCAGUGCACAGAGUGAGAAAUGAGUCUGUAAAUGGACCAUGCAAAGGAGAACUUUUAAUCCUAGAACUGUGUUUUUCAUUCAAUAGGAACGCUAUGGAAUGCUGAACUUGUACAUUCAGUUCAUCCAUGGGUACAUGUCUUAAAAUAGAGCACAUAUGUUAUAUUUCAAAUUGCAUGACACCUCAUGAGAGCACUGGAUCCAGCUAUACUAUAGAUUCGAUAUCAUAGGAACAUUGUAUACACAGAAACCAAUUUGUCUGGCUUCCUUUUCAAUACAGCACCUGAACUAUGCUGGCCCUUUAAUAAAAUGAAGCUCUUACUCUUAAAACAUCAUUAAAAUGCUGCAGGCUUCUAAAUAAACA